UACGGGGGGUGCGAGCGUUGUCCGGAAUCACUGGGCGUAAAGGGCGCGUAGGUGGCCUGGUAAGUCUGUGGUGAAAGCCCGGAGCUCAACUCCGGGUCUGCCGCGGAUACUGCGAGGCUUGAGUGCUGUAGAGGGGGGUAGAAUGCCGGGUGUAGCGGUGGAAUGCGUAGAGAUCCGGCAGAAGACCGGUGGCGAAGGCGGCCCCCUGGGCAGUAACUGACACUGAGGCGCGACAGCGUGGGAGC
rnacentral:rRNA from 1 species